rnacentral:rRNA from 1 species
UCGAACGCGAAAGUUCCUUCGGGGAACAAGUAGAGUGGCGCACGGGUGAGUAACACGUAGGUAAUCUACCUUCGGAUGGGGAAUAACAAUCGGAAACGGUUGCUAAUACCGCAUAAUGCAGCGGCACCUAAUGGUGACAGUUGUUAAAGCGGGGGAUCGAAAGACCUCGCGUCUGAAGAGGAGCCUGCGGCGGAUUAGCUAGUUGGUAAGGUAAUGGCUUACCAAGGCUACGAUCCGUAACCGGCCUGAGAGGGCGGUCGGUCACACUGACACUGACAUACGGGUCAGACUCCUACGGGAGGCAGCAGUCGGGAAUUUUGGGCAAUGGGCGAAAGCCUGACCCAGCAACGCCGCGUGAAGGAUGAAAUCCCUCGGGAUGUAAACUUCGCAAGAACGGGAAGAAUAAGUAGGGGACAAUACCCCCUAUGAUGACGGUACCGUUUGUAAGCUCCGGCUAACUCCGUGCCAGCAGCCGCGGUAAUACGGGGGGAGCAAGCGUUGUCCGGAUUUACUGGGCGUAAAGGGCGCGUAGGCGGUCAGCACAAGUCAGUUGUGAAAUCUCCGAGCUUAACUCGGAAAGGUCAACUGAUACUGUGCGACUAGAGUGCAGAAGGGGCAACUGGAAUUCUUGGUGUAGCGGUGAAAUGCGUAGAUCUCAAGAGGAACACCUGCGGCGAAGGCGGGUUGGCUGGGCCGACACUGACGCUGAUGCGCGAAAGCCAGGGGAGCGAACGG